AGCUACUUGAGUUAAUAAGUAGUUAUUUCUGCUCCAUGAUAAUUAAAUAGCCGCAGUACCCUGACUGUGCAAAGGUAGCAUAAUCAGUUGGCUCUUAAUUAGAGUCUGGAAUGAAUGAAAACAUGGAUGGUAACUAUCUAAGUGUAUUUUUUUGAACUUAAUAAAUAAGUGAAAAUACUUAUAUUAAUACAAUAGACGAGAAGACCCUAGAAACUUGAAUUGAUUUUUGUUGGGGCGACAAAAUUACAUUUAACUAAUUUUUUUAACGGGACGUUAAAACGAAAGAAUAAGUUACUCUAGGGAUAACAGCAUAAUUUUAAUAGUUUGUGACCUCGAUGUUGGACUAGGUAUUAUAUCCUUAAGAUAAGGAUAUAAGGUGCUCUGUUCGAGCAAAUACACCUACAU
rnacentral:rRNA from 1 species